rnacentral:rRNA from 1 species
GAUCAUGGCUCAGGAUGAACGCUAGCUACAGGCUUAACACAUGCAAGUCGAGGGGCAGCAUAGUGUUCUUAGCAAUACCUUGAUGGCGACCGGCGCACGGGUGAGUAACGCGUAUGCAACCGUGCCCGAUACCGGGGUAUAGCCCAUGGAAACGUGGAUUAACACCCCCAUAGUACUUUUAUCCUGCAUGGGAUAGUGAGUUAAAUGUUCAAGGUAUCGGAUGGGCAUGCGU